rnacentral:rRNA from 1 species
GACGAACGCUGGCGGCGUGCCUAAUACAUGCAAGUCGAGCGAGACUCUUCGGAGUCUAGCGGCGGACGGGUGAGUAACACGUGGGCAACCUGCCUGUAAGACUGGGAUAACACCGGGAAACCGGUGCUAAUACCGGAUAAUCCCUUUUCUUUCAUGAGGAAAAGCUGAAAGUCGGUUUCGGCUGACACUUACAGAUGGGCCCGCGGCGCAUUAGCUAGUUGGUGAGGCAACGGCUCACCAAGGCGACGAUGCGUAGCCGACCUGAGAGGGUGAUCGGCCACACUGGGACUGAGACACGGCCCAGACUCCUAUGGGAGGCAGCAGUAGGGAAUCUUCCACAAUGGACGAAAGUCUGAUGGAGCAACGCCGCGUGAGCGAUGAAGGCCUUCGGGUCGUAAAGCUCUGUUGUUAGGGAAGAACAAGUACCGGAGUAACUGCCGGUACCUUGACGGUACCUAACCAGAAAGCCACGGCUAACUACGUGCCAGCAGCCGCCGUAACAC